rnacentral:lncRNA from 1 species
UCCGGACAAGGUAGUCCAAGUGGAAGGACGGGCUUGGGUUGCUAAAACAAUCCGGGUUCGAUCCCCCCCAUACGGAAACUACUCUGCCUCGUCUGGACACUAAAGCGGGUACUGGGCCUUCGGGCCCAGGGAAAAACCUCCCUGGUGAAGCUGGCCUGCUGCCUGACCGGGCCCAGGGGAAUGAUCCGCGUAAGCGGGGAACCCCUGGAUUACAAAAAAAAAAAAAAAAAAAAAAAAAAAAAAAAAAAAAAACAUAUGAUAAAGACAAAUGUUUCAAUUUUGUAGAUAAAGAAAUAAGAACAAGCAUCACCUGGAUUUAACUUUACGUAUUAUAUAUAAAUAUGAGUAUUAGGCAUGG